AGACAGACAGACAGACAGACAGACAGACAGACAAGACAGACAAGACAGACAGACAGACAGACAGACAGACAGACAGACAGACAGACAGACAGACAGACAGACAGACAGACAGACAGACAGACAGACAGACAGACAGACAGACAGACACUUAUUGUACCAGGAGAGAGAGACUAGUUUAACACUUAUUAUACCAGGAGAGACUAGUUUAACACUUAUUAUACCAGACUAGUUUAACACUUGUUAUACCAGGAGAGAGAGAGACUAGUUUAACACUUAUUAUACCAGGAGAGAGAGAGAGAGAGAGACUAGUUUAACACUUAUUAUACCAGGAGAGACUAGUUUAAAAGGAAGUCAUUGUUCCCAGUAAUUACGACAUUUUCCCUCAUCUCUAAACUCUAUAUCACCGUAUACCACUGUACAUUUGUCAUAUCUUUGAAAUAAAAAC
rnacentral:lncRNA from 1 species